AUGCGAUAUGCCAGACCCAAGAAUGCAGAAGAGCUGAAGGCCACUAUCAGAGCAACCUGGGCUCUCAUAACACCUGAGCACCCAUCUGCCCCCUGGCUGUCCGAUGUACUCCGUGAACAUCGCUCUAAACUCAGGGCUGCAGAGAGGAAAUGGCUUAAAUCAAGAAACUCUACCGACCUCAGUGUGUAUCAGUCUCUCCUCUCCUCCUUCUCUGCAAACGUCUUCACUGCUAAAACAUCAUAUUACCACGACAAGAUUAACAACUGUUGUGACGCUCGGACACUCUUCAAAAAAAAAAAAAAAAAAAAAAAAAAAAAAAAAAAAAAAAAAAAAAAAAAAAAAAAAAAAAAAAAAAAAAAAAAAAAAAAAAAAAAAAAAAAAAAAAAAAAAAAAAAAAAAAAAAAAAAAAAAAAAAAAAAAAAAAAAAAAAAAAAAAAAAAAAAAAAAAAAAAAAAAAAAAAAAAAAAAAAAAAAAAAAAAAAAAAAAAAAAAAAAAAAAAAAAAAAAAAAAAAAAAAAAAAAAAAAAAAAAAAAAAAAAAAAAAAAAAAAAAAAAAAAAAAAAAAAAAAAAAAAAAAAAAAAAAAAAAAAAAAAAAAAAAAAAAAAAAAAAAAAAAAAAAAAAAAAAAAAAAAAAAAAAAAAAAAAAAAAAAAAAAAAAAAAAAAAAAAAAAAAAAAAAAAAAAAAAAAAAAAAAAAAAAAAAAAAAAAAAAAAAAAAAAAAAAAAAAAAAAAAAAAAAAAAAAAAAAAAAAAAAAAAAAAAAAAAAAAAAAAAAAAAAAAAAAAAAAAAAAAAAAAAAAAAAAAAAAAAAAAAAAAAAAAAAAAAAAAAAAAAAAAAAAAAAAAAAAAAAAAAAAAAAAAAAAAAAAAAAAAAAAAAAAAAAAAAAAAAAAAAAAAAAAAAAAAAAAAAAAAAAAAAAAAAAAAAAAAAAAAAAAAAAAAAAAAAAAAAAAAAAAAAAAAAAAAAAAAAAAAAAAAAAAAAAAAAAAAAAAAAAAAAAAAAAAAAAAAAAAAAAAAAAAAAAAAAAAAAAAAAAAAAAAAAAAAAAAAAAAAAAAAAAAAAAAAAAAAAAAAAAAAAAAAAAAAAAAAAAAAAAAAAAAAAAAAAAAAAAAAAAAAAAAAAAAAAAAAAAAAAAAAAAAAAAAAAAAAAAAAAAAAAAAAAAAAAAAAAAAAAAAAAAAAAAAAAAAAAAAAAAAAAAAAAAAAAAAAAAAAAAAAAAAAAAAAAAAAAAAAAAAAAAAAAAAAAAAAAAAAAAAAAAAAAAAAAAAAAAAAAAAAAAAAAAAAAAAAAAAAAAAAAAAAAAAAAAAAAAAAAAAAAAAAAAAAAAAAAAAAAAAAAAAAAAAAAAAAAAAAAAAAAAAAAAAAAAAAAAAAAAAAAAAAAAAAAAAAAAAAAAAAAAAAAAAAAAAAAAAAAAAAAAAAAAAAAAAAAAAAAAAAAAAAAAAAAAAAAAAAAAAAAAAAAAAAAAAAAAAAAAAAAAAAAAAAAAAAAAAAAAAAAAAAAAAAAAAAAAAAAAAAAAAAAAAAAAAAAAAAAAAAAAAAAAAAAAAAAAAAAAAAAAAAAAAAAAAAAAAAAAAAAAAAAAAAAAAAAAAAAAAAAAAAAAAAAAAAAAAAAAAAAAAAAAAAAAAAAAAAAAAAAAAAAAAAAAAAAAAAAAAAAAAAAAAAAAAAAAAAAAAAAAAAAAAAAAAAAAAAAAAAAAAAAAAAAAAAAAAAAAAAAAAAAAAAAAAAAAAAAAAAAAAAAAAAAAAAAAAAAAAAAAAAAAAAAAAAAAAAAAAAAAAAAAAAAAAAAAAAAAAAAAAAAAAAAAAAAAAAAAAAAAAAAAAAAAAAAAAAAAAAAAAAAAAAAAAAAAAAAAAAAAAAAAAAAAAAAAAAAAAAAAAAAAAAAAAAAAAAAAAAAAAAAAAAAAAAAAAAAAAAAAAAAAAAAAAAAAAAAAAAAAAAAAAAAAAAAAAAAAAAAAAAAAAAAAAAAAAAAAAAAAAAAAAAAAAAAAAAAAAAAAACACACAGUUGUCUUGA
rnacentral:lncRNA from 12 species